rnacentral:tRNA from 1 species
AAAUAAGAAGCUAAAUAGCAGUUAGUUUCGACCUAAUUUAAUGGUAUUAAAUUACCCUUAUUUU